GGCAGGCAGUGAGUGCACAUGCAGGGGAAAUGCUGGGCUGGAUGGGGGCUGGGAAAGAUGCCCUGGAGAUUUAAAGCCAGAGCCAUGUCUCCAACACUGGCCUUUGUCCUGGCCCUGUUAGCCACUCCUGCUGGGCUGAAGUUGAAUCCACAAAUUGAAAAGGAUGAUGUUAAACGGAUGCUGGAACGGGAGGAAUAUCUGCACCAGGAAAUUACUCGGCUCCUAUAGGAGGUUGAUGACAAGUCCAUCAUGGAAAGCCUGCUCUGUUCUGCUCAGCAGCUGCUGUGGCUGCCUUGGCUCACCGAGGCUGUUCUGCUCUCUCUGGCCUUCUGGCUGGUCAGGAGAGGAAAGCAUGGCUUGUUAUGAAUAAAAAAAAAAAUCAA